GGCGCACGGGUGCGUAACGCGUAUGCAACCUACCUUUUACUGGGGGAUAGCCCGGAGAAAUCCGGAUUAAUACCGCAUAACAUCCUUUGAGGGCAUCCUCUGGAGGAUUAAAGAUUUAUUGGUAAAAGAUGGGCAUGCGUGCCAUUAGCUAGUUGGUGGUGUAACGGACCACCAAGGCGACGAUGGCUAGGGGUUCUGAGAGGAUGAUCCCCCACACUGGUACUGAGAUACGGACCAGACUCCUACGGGAGGCAGCAGUGGGGAAUAUUGCGCAAUGGGCGAAAGCCUGACGCAGCGACGCCGCGUGAGGGAUGACGGCCUUCGGGUUGUAAACCUCUUUCAGUAGGGACGAAGCGAAAGUGACGGUACCUACAGAAGAAGCACCGGCCAACUACGUGCCAGCCGCCGCGG
rnacentral:rRNA from 1 species